CCUACGGGUGGCUGCAGUGGGGAAUAUUGCACAAUGGGCGCAAGCCUGAUGCAGCCAUGCCGCGUGUGUGAAGAAGGCCUUCGGGUUGUAAAGCACUUUCAGCGGGGAGGAAGGCGGUGAGGUUAAUAACCUCAUCGAUUGACGUUACCCGCAGAAGAAGCACCGGCUAACUCCGUGCCAGCAGCCGCGGUAAUACGGAGGGUGCAAGCGUUAAUCGGAAUUACUGGGCGUAAAGCGCACGCAGGCGGUCUGUCAAGUCGGAUGUGAAAUCCCCGGGCUCAACCUGGGAACUGCAUUCGAAACUGGCAGGCUAGAGUCUUGUAGAGGGGGGUAGAAUUCCAGGUGUAGCGGUGAAAUGCGUAGAGAUCUGGAGGAAUACCGGUGGGGAAGGCGGCCCCCUGGACAAAGACUGACGCUCAGGUGCGAAAGCGUGGGGAGCAAACAGGAUUAGAUACCCGAGUAGUC
rnacentral:rRNA from 1 species